ensembl:lncRNA
CAUGUGAAAUGCUUUGCCUCUGAUCUCAAUCCAAUUAGUAACGUAUAUUUUUGUUGAACAUAUUUUCUUAGUAACAAUUUCAUGACCAAAUUAUAACAUAAUGCAAAAUGGUGAGGAGCAGGCCUAUGUUCAUUGUGUUAAAAUGUGGAAGUGGUAAACAACAGGAAAUUAUAUAUUUUUAAUUGCUCAUCUCAAACCAAAGCAGAAAGCAGGUUUCUCAAGUCAACGUUAACACAGGCAUUUCCUUACAGAGAUCUUUGAUAUAAAGCCACCACACACACUUUACUCACUCUACAUAAUGCCAAAACAGAAGAAGGUGUCAUGUAGAACAAAGCAAUAAAAAAAAAAAAAGCAUGAGCUAAAACCUCAGAUUCACACUCCUCACUUUAAACACAUUAACACACUGUAAACUUCCUUUUAAUACGUUGUGGUAACCCACUCCCCCAAUGUGCCGGGUUCCAGGUAGGAAUCACACGUUAAGCGAGGGUUAAGCCGCACUCGGCAUUUAUUGCAUACAUCUUAGACAAAUAAUAUGCUUGCGGUCUCUAGGGCCUCCGUGAGCCUCUAGUCGCUCGCGGACCCGAGCGCUUCCUUCUCCCUCGCUCCAGUUCCACCCAAAUGUCCGUCCUCAUGCUCCUUUUAAAGUCUCUUCCUGGCUGUCCAGCCAGGUGUCUCCCAUCUCGCCGAUUGGGGUUCCACGGGUGCUCUCCGUCGCCGGCUGGUGGAUAACGGUAGUAUUUGCCGUCCAGGAUGAAACCUCGGGUCCGUCCGGACCGAGGUUUAAGGGGUGGGACGCCACACUCCACCGCUUGAUUAGGCCCCCGGUAGUAGGGGAACCCGCCCAGGCAGGUAUCCCGUCGGGACAAGGCAUCAGCGUUGGUCUGCUCGCGGCGGUCCUGUUUGCCCUUUAGGUCCUGCAGCUCGUGGUUCCUUUCCU